GACGAACGCUGGCGGCGUGCCUAACACAUGCAAGUCGAGCGGAGAUGUACUGAAGAUUUAUCGGAUGUACAUCUUAGCGGCGGACGGGUGAGUAACGCGUGGGCAACCUGCCUUUCACUGGGGGGAUAACACAGGGAAACCUGUGCUAAUACCGCAUGACAUCACGUAGGGCAUCCUAUGUGAUCAAAGGAGAGAUCCGGUGGAAGAUGGGCCCGCGUCCAAUUAGCUGGUUGGUGAGGUAAAGGCUCACCAAGGCGACGAUUGGUAGCCGAACUGAGAGGUUGAUCGGCCACAUUGGGACUGAGACACGGCCCAGACUCCUACGGGAGGCAGCAGUGGGGAAUAUUGCGCAAUGGGGGGAACCCUGACGCAGCAACGCCGCGUGAAGGAAGAAGGUCUUCGGAUUGUAAACUUCUUUGAUGAGGGACGAAUAAAGUGACGGUACCUCAAAACAAGCCAACGGCUAACUACGUGCCAGCAGCCGCGGUAAAAGUC
rnacentral:rRNA from 1 species